rnacentral:rRNA from 1 species
AACGAACGCUGGCGGCAUGCCUAACACAUGCAAGUCGAACGAGACCUUCGGGCCUAGUGGCGCACGGGUGCGUAACGCGUGGGAACCUGCCCUUAGGUUCGGAAUAACUCCCCGAAAGGGGUGCUAAUACCGGAUAAUGUCUUAGGACCAAAGAUUUAUCGCCUUUGGAUGGGCCCGCGUUGGAUUAGCUAGUUGGUAGGGUACAAGCCUACCAAGGCGACGAUCCAUAGCUGGUCUGAGAGGAGGAUCAGCCACACUGGGACUGAGACACGGCCCAGACUCCUACGGGAGGCAGCAGUGGAGAAUAUUGGACAAGGGGCGAAAGCCUGAUCCAGCAAUGCCGCGUGAGUGAUGAAGGCCUUAGGGUUGUAAAGCUCUUUUACCCGGGAUGAUAAUGACAGUACCGGGAGAAUAAGCACCGGCUAACUCCGUG